rnacentral:misc_RNA from 1 species
GAAAUGCGAUAAGUAAUGUGAAUUGCAGAAUUCAGUGAAUCAUCGAAUCUUUGAACGCACAUUGCGCCCGCCAGUAUUCUGACGGGCAUGCCUGUUCGAGCGUCAUUACAACUCUCAGGCCCCCGGGCCUGGCGUUGGGGAUCGGCGGAAGCCCCCUGCGGGCACAACGCCGUCCCCCAAAUACAGUGGCGGUCCCGCCGCAGCUUCCAUUGCGUAGUAGCUAACACCUCGCAACUGGAACGCGGCGCGGCCAAGCCGUUAAACCCCCAACUUCUGAAUGUUGACCUCGGAUCAGGUAGGAAUACCCGCUGAACUUAAGC